rnacentral:rRNA from 1 species
AUUGAACGCUGGCGGCAGGCCUAACACAUGCAAGUCGAACGAGUGGCGGACGGGUGAGUAAUGUCUGGGAAACUGCCUGAUGGAGGGGGAUAACUACUGGACACGGUAGCUAAUACCGCAUACCAUCAGAUGUGCCCAGAUGGGAUUAGCUGGGUGGUGGGGUAAAGGCUCACCAAGGCGACGAUCCCUACCUGGUCUUAGAGGAUGACCAGCCCAACUGGAACUGAGACACGGGCCAGACUCCUACGGGAGGCAGCAGUGGGGAAGAUUGCACAAUGGGCGCAAGCCUGAUGCAGCCAUGCCGCGUGUAUGAAGAAGGCCUUCGGGUUGUAAAGUACUUUCAGCGGGGAGGCGUUACCCGCAGAAGAAGCACCGGCUAACUCCGUGCCAGCAGCCGCGGUAAUUC